UGAGGAAUAUUGGACAAUGGGUGAGAGCCUGAUCCAGCCAUCCCGCGUGAAGGAUGACGGUCCUAUGGAUUGUAAACUUCUUUUGUACAGGGAUAAACCUACUCUCGUGAGGGUAGCUGAAGGUACUGUACGAAUAAGCACCGGCUAACUCCGUGCCAGCAGCCGCGGUAAUACGGAGGGUGCAAGCGUUAUCCGGAUUUAUUGGGUUUAAAGGGUCCGUAGGCGGACUUGUAAGUCAGUGGUGAAAUCUCAUAGCUUAACUAUGAAACUGCCAUUGAUACUGCAGGUCUUGAGUAAAUUUGAAGUGGCUGGAAUAAGUAGUGUAGCGGUGAAAUGCAUAGAUAUUACUUAGAACACCAAUUGCGAAGGCAGGUCACUAAGAUUUAACUGACGCUGAUGGACGAAAGCGUGGGUAGCGAACAGG
rnacentral:rRNA from 1 species